rnacentral:lncRNA from 1 species
GAAGAGACCAUCAAGUUCGGAAAGCCACUAGGUAUCCGCACUGUGGCUGUCAUUGGUGGCAUCUCCAGAGAGGACCAAGGCUUCAGGCUACGCAUGGGUUGUGAGAUUGUGAUCGCCACCCCAGGACGUCUGAUUGACGUGCUGGAGAACCGUUACCUGGUGCUCAGCCGCUGCACCUAUGUGGUUCUGGAUGAGGCCGACAGGAUGAUUGACAUGGGCUUCGAGCCAGAUGUGCAGAAGAUCCUGGAGCACAUGCCUGUCAGCAACCAGAAGCCGGACACGGACGAGGCCGAGGACCCCGAGAAGAUGUUAGCCAACUUUGAAUCAGGAAAACACAAGUACCGUCAAUCAUGUUCACGGCUACCAUGCCUCCAGCGGUGGAGCGUCUAGCCAGGAGCUAUCUUCGGCGGCCUGCUGUGGUGUACAUUGGCUCUGCAGGCAAGCCCCAUGAGCGGGUGGAACAGAAGGUCUUUCUCAUGUCGGAGUCAGAAAAGAGGAAAAAGCUGCUGGCAAUCCUGGAACAAGGUUUUGAUCCACCCAUCAUCAUCUUUGUCAACCAGAAGAAGGGUUGCGACGUGUUGGCCAAGUCUCUGGAGAAGAUGGGGUACAACGCCUGUACACUGCAUGGUGGCAAAGGCCAGGAGCAGCGAGAAUUCGCAUUGUCCAACCUCAAGGCUGGAGCCAAGGAUAUUCUGGUGGCUACAGAUGUGGCUGGUCGUGGUAUCGAUAUCCAAGACGUAUCUAUGGUUGUCAAC